rnacentral:lncRNA from 1 species
AUUUAUCUUGCCAAGCUUGUUUAAAGAUCCUCAUGUGUUAAUGAUGAUUAUUUUCUAUUAAUUGUUAAGUGAAUUGAGUUGCUUGAACAUCUGCUCGAUUACUUGUCUCUUAUGAUUUUUGAUGACCAUUGAGAUUAUAAGACUAGAAAUAACGAAUGUGAAACUAGAAUUAAUUUGAGAAUAAGUAAGUUAAUGUGUGAGCCUUGUUUGAUGACCAUCAACAAGAGGUUAAUUAAAUGUCUACAUUGAUUAACUAUAUUUACAAGUCUUGCUUGAUACGAACUGAACACUAGGAAGCAUGUUAGUUUAAUCAACUGAUCACUGUUUAAAUUGACUUGUUUGCUAAAGGAUUAGUUAUAGUGAACGCGAAUCUAAUCAUUUUAGGAAUCGGUGAACAUGAAUAAAUGAAUUUGUGUAUGCAAUUGUCUAUGUUUUUAAGGUGUAAUUUAUCUAAACCAAAGUACCUGAAGAGAUUUGCUUUCCUGUUAGUUUAUCGAGAGUUGUUAAUUGUUAGUUUGAGAUUUAUUAAACCAUUUUCUUUAUUAUUUUCGUGUGACCUGUAACCUAUAAUCAAAUAUAUUAAAUUAAUCCACCGUUCCCUGUGAUCGACACCCGACUUACCUAAGCUAUACUGUAAUCUGACUAGGUACACUGCCUAUAAGUGCAUAGAUAGUCUAAGUUUGUUAGGUUAUAAAUAUUAAAAUUAGUGGGUACUUUUGUGCACAUCAAGUUUUUGGCGCCGUUGCCGGGGAACGGCUUGUCAUUAAUUUAUUUUAUUUGAUUAUUCGUUAUUUGUUUUUAGUUAGUUUUUAUUUUUAGUUUGAUUUUCGAUGAUAUCAUUUCACUUGUCGGGAAGGUUCUUGUUUUUAUUUUGCAGGAAUUUGGGAUUGUACACAUUGCUUGACUUUACUUUUUGCAUGGGUUUCGAGAAUGAAAGCGAUUAGGGAAUUCUUGACCUGCUUAGCCUACUACUUUGUUGAUUUGUCCAACUCAAUCCAUGAGGCGUAGUAUAGCAAGGCGUAUUGUGGUGGUUAAGUGGAAGACCAAGCUCUUGCUGUUCUUGACUAGUUAGGUCACUUCUUGUUCCGCUUCUAGUUAAAGGUGCAAGGAAAACAAAGGAAAUAUUCUAACGGGUCCCGAAAGUGGGUGUUUUCGCAAACCAAUUCUUGCAUGCAAAGGUUUUUGAUCAACCAUUGUUGUUUGAUCUUGACAAAGAUAAGUGAUUAUGACAUCUCCGUUUUUUUUAUCACUCAUCGUGAAGUCAUCAUUAGCUGAAGAAAUUAAAAAGAAAAAAAAAUAAAUAAGUUUUAAGCCCCUAGAUUAAAUAAUUAAAAAGAAAAGGAAGUUAAAUUAAAGAAAGAAGGAAAAUUUUCAUUUAAACUUACGCCCCGCGUAAGUUAUAUUACGCAAAGCGUACACCAACAUCUGAUCGCGUAUGAAUUUUCAAGGGGAUAGAAUUACGCCCCGCGUAAGGCGACGACCAGGUAUAUCUUUUGACCCUUUGACUGUGUUGUGUAAUUCUUUCAAUCCUCUCCUUUCUCGCAUACGUUGUGACGGAAGAAGCCUCCUAAAGAUCCUCAAUUUUCUUUCGUUUCUUGUUAAAUCCAACACAAAAGUAAGUAUUUCGGAUACUCAAUGGCUUGGAUUUAUGUUAAUUUGAUGAAAUAAGCUGCAUUUAGCUUUUGCUCGAAAUCUAGGGUUCAUAGUGUUCUUGAAUUAGGGCCGAUUUCGCUAUUAUGUGUUCUAAUUACCACUUGAAUGGAUCGAUUUCUGCCAAUUGAUUAAACCCUAGGACCUAAUUUUGUCUUAAUCCCGUCCCAUAUCCAUCGAUUAAAGCUUGGGGUCGCACGCCAAGCGUACGCCCUGAAAAAUCGAUUGACUGCCCUAUGAAGUUUCUCUGUUAAUUGUUUACCAAUCUUGAAUAGAUGAGGAACUAAUAGGGGAUUGAUUUAUCAUUUUGGUCAUAAGUUUUAAGGGUGGUCACGUUUUUUGUUCCUACUGCAUUUGGACCACGAAAUGUUAACAGUUUGCUGCCCUGCUGUGUUUAUUUUGAGUUGGGGAAUGGUUUAAGCACGAGUAAUAGAACCGACACAGAUCUGUUGAACCUGGACGUACGCCCAGCGUAUGCUGGAUGUACGCCCAGCGUACUGCACCUAUCCAACCCCAUUUUUUUUUAGUUUAAAAAAUUAUUAAUGUUGUGAUAUUUUGUUUGGAUUUGUGUGUGUGUUUAUUUGUGCUGAUUAUGGCUCGAAGGACACAAAGAACCAACCCACCCGAGGAUGUUACCGAUCAUCGUUUUUUACAAUUUCCUCCGCAAACGCUGAACGAUGCUACCCGGGCACGUUAUGUUACUAACUUGAGUUUGCUUCUCACAAAAGAGAUUGAUAUUGCACCCUCAUUUGAUUGGGAAUUGGCUACCAGGACUGGACUUGUUGCAUUGAUCCAGUAAUUUUUGCAAUACACACACUCGGACGCGAGUGGUGUGGAAUUGUUUGUGUGUCAGGGAUGGGCGCGUUUGUUCAGGAUCCAGGAGCCUGUAUAUCGGGAGUUUUUGCUGGAGUUUUACGCUACAGUUUCCUAUGAUCCUAGGAAGGCACUCGAUGACAGGACGGCCUUUGCUUUCAGACUGGGAGGAGUGAGCCGGGAAUGCAGCGUGAUAGAGCUUGCGACUCGGGUGGGUAUUUACACAGUCGAUGAGACGAGGAGUGUUCACUUCCCGGCAUUACUUGCUGACUGUCUCACGGACCGACCAGAAGACUAUAACGAGAACACCUUUUGGGCCGAGAUUACGGGAGGAGUUUAUACACCAUCUACCGCUCGAGGGGGGAUGAUUCGGUCCACUACAUACCGAAUGUUGCACCGGUUGAUUUCUAUGUCUCUCACGCAUCACAAGAAUAGUGAGAGAGUGCCUUCGACGGACCUGUAUUUCCUAUGGGCACUAGUUACUCCAGGGAGGCACCUGAACCUUCCAGUUGCUUUAGCUGCAUACUUGGGACGGAGGGCCAGGGGACUUCGGGGAGAUAGCCCGAUAUGCGGAGGGCAUUUUAUCACACGGUUAGCUCGAUCAUACCAGUUGAUGACACGUGAGAUCACGAGAUCGAUGGUGUUUCACGACAUGAGGCCGAUGAGUCUUCAGCUAUUGGAGUCGAUGCGUGUAUUAGAGCGGGGUGGAGAUGGUGUUUUGAGAGUUCGAGCAGAUGAUGUGGCAGAUGAGGAGGGUGCUGCCGAGCCACAGCCGAGACGGGUCCAGCGGCGUCGACCUGCUCCUCGGGGAGCGCAGCAGGGACCUGAGCGGGAGAUUGAUAUGCGCUACCUGGCUCAGGGCAUUGACCGUCUUAGCGAGUAUGUUGCACAUGUGGACAUGCAACAGCAGUGGUAUGGGAAUGCGUUGAACGCAUUCUUUGCCCAUCAGGGGUUUCAGUAUUCGGUUCCCUUUCCACCACCAUUCCAGUCACGAUUUGAUGGGGCCGGUACUUCUGGGACACAGCCACAUGAUGAUGGAGAUGACGAGUGAUCCUUUUUAUUUUGUUUUAUUUGUUUUGUGUUAUUUUUAGUUUAGUUUAGUUUUUAGUAUUUGGUAUGUAAUUAAACUUUGAUUUAGUUUGUUUUACUUUGUUUUCCAUGUUGAUGCUCUUUGGUUGUUUAGAUUUCUGUAGAAUCUUCGCAAUUAGGAAGCUGGCAGUAAGUUCAACAGCUAGGUCCGACUGUUGCUAAAGAGAGCGGUAUGAGAGUUGAAGAUUAUAGUCGAGACCCACAAUUUGUCAUAAGUGUGAGGUGCAUAUUUAUUUUGUGAGCGAUCGUUUUAAAGAUUGGCAUUGUUACGAUGUUUUGACUCUUAUGAUAUGGAUGAGCAGUUCCCAUGCUAUAGAGUUUUAUUUCGACGCGAGGAGGAAGUAUCGUCCCGGCUGCCACGACAUGGUUGACACUUUCCUAUGUUAUGGGGGAUUUUUCAUCGCGAGUAGAGGAUGUCAUUCUUGACGAGACGACGUGGUCGACACUUUCCCACGUCAUGGUUACUAUACUUUGCAUUUAUUUGCAAUAUUUUGCACCACAUUUUUGAAGAUGGCGGUCUUGAUUUUAUUUUUCGGCAAAUUCAGAGGCAGCAGUUCCAGUUUUCAGUCUUUCGGCGAUAUUUGAAGCAACUUGUAGCAGCCCCAUUCGAUCUCGCCACAACUACCCAGGGGAGUCUGUUCCUUUUUCUCCCUUUUUAUGUUCUUAAUUUGUUUUAGCAUACAAUGAGGGCAUUGUAUGAAAUAAGUGUGGGGUAGGGGAUCGGUAAAAGUAAAUUAAAAUUAAGAGAAAAAUGAAAUUGCUAGAAUUUAGAAAAUUUAAAAAUUUUAAAACUUGAAAUAAUAGUUUAAUUUAGAAAAUCUAGUGAUAAUUUAAAUUUUGCUAAUAUUGUAUGAAAUGAUCCGAUGAGAACUCAAAUGUUUAGUUGAGCCAAUAUACGUUAUAGUGCAUUUGUGGCCUCCCUUAUUUUAGUGAAAUCAUGGAACAAAAACACAACCCCGCUUGGUUUGAGGGAUGCAAUAUGUUUAGCAGCCUAAACCUGAAAUGUAUCCAGGAAAAUUAUUAUCAUUAACCAAUAAAGGUUGAGGUUGAGCGCCUCUGCUUAAGCAUGUAGGUUUUGAGUGAAAAAAAGAAAAAAAAUGAGUUACAUGUGAAAACAAAAGAGAGAGAGAAUUACGAAAAAAGUUUGAAGAAUUUUGUAGCAAAUAAAGUGAAGAUCAAAAGAUCAAAAUUCUGAAGAAAUCCAAAAAGUUGAAGAUACCAGAAAUCAAUUCAAAUAAGGUGGUGAAUUCAAAGAAAUCAAAGAUCAAAAUGCCAAAGAAAUGAAGAAUUCAAAUAAAGCUCCAUAGUGGUAUCGGAAAGUUGUAAUUUUCUAGAAUAUGUAUGCUUAGGUUGCUCAACUAAAAAUACCUUGAGGUUAGGAGGUUUUCUGCGGAUGGAUUCGGAGGGUUGCAUAAAAUGAGCAUUGUUCGGAAAAAGUGGGCGAGUGUUUAUGAAGAUUGUGAGUAUUUAAAAUAUGGGGGGGUACUUUAGGAAAAUAUUAGACACAAAUGUACGCGUUGAGGUCUUGGCAUAAUGGCUGAGUUUUAAAUGGAUUGUUUAGUGCGAUAUUGGUAAAAUAAAAGUAAAUUUGCUUGGGGGCAAGCAAAGGCUAAGUGUGGGGUAUUUUGAUAUGUGUAUUUUUAUAUAUAUUUUUAUACACUUUAUCUUAAUAUUUUGGCCUUAUUUAUUCUAUUUUAGAACUAAAAAGUACUCAUAAUGCUUUGAAUUAUGUUUUGCAGCUAUUUGUUGCCGAUGAAGCACAAAAGAAAAGACUGAAUCGGGAACCGGGCUUAGAAGCUAAAAGAAAUCAAAAUUGCUGAAAAAGUGAGUACGCCCCGCGUAAGGAAAUAGUACGCGCCGCGUACACCUUUGCACCGGAUAUACUUGAUCGCGUGAUUAUCUUGAGUACGCGCUGCGUAAUCCUAAGUACGCCCAGCGUACUUAGGUCGGCCACAAAGAUUAUAAAUGUCGAUUUUUAGCUAACCAGGAGGGGGGAUUCGACUUCUAACCUAAUUUAGUCGACAAUUAACUUCUGUUAAGCCGUUUUGAGGGUCUAGAAGGCGGCCGGAAGGCCGUUAAGCUAACGGGAGCGGAGAUCGGAAGGAUUGGAGAGCGGAUACAUGUUGAUUAUCAUAUGGAUUGCUGACGUGACCAUGUUUAGCAUUCCAUUGUGGUACUUUUCUGUAUUUAGUUUCUGAUUUAGGUGUAAAAACCUUUUACUUUGUGUUUAUGAUUGAAUGAAGCUUUGAUUAUUAGACUAAUUGCUAUAUUAAAUAGUUUAUUUGUGUUUAAUUUAUCUUGCCAAGCUUGUUUAAAGAUCCUCAUGUGUUAAUGAUGAUUAUUUUCUGUUAAUUGUUAAGUGAAUUGAGUUGCUUGAACAUCCGCUUGGAUUGCUUGUCUCUUAUGAUUUUUGAUGACCAUCGAGAUUAUAAGACUAGAAAUAACGAAUGUGAAACUAGAAUUAAUUUGAGAAUAAGUAAGUUAAUGUGUGAGCCUUGUUUGAUGACCAUCAACAAGAGGUUAAUUAAAUGUCUACAUUGAUUAACUAUAUUUACAAGUCUUGCUU